GAUGAACGCUGGCGGCGUGCCUAAUACAUGCAAGUCGAGCGAACAGACGAGGAGCUUGCUCCUUUGACGUUAGCGGCGGACGGGUGAGUAACACGUGGGUAACCUACCUAUAAGACUGGGAUAACUUCGGGAAACCGGAGCUAAUACCGGAUAAUAUUUCGAACCGCAUGGUUCUAUAAUGAAAGAUGCCUCUGCUAUCACUUAUACAUGGACCUGCGCCGUAUUAGCUAGUUGGUAAGGUAACGGCUUACCAAGGCAACGAUACGUAGCCGACCUGAGAGGGUGAUCGGCCACACUGGAACUGAGACACGGUCCAGACUCCUACGGGAGGCAGCAGUAGGGAAUCUUCCGCAAUGGGCGAAAGCCUGACGGAGCAACGCCGCGUGAGUGAUGAAGGUCUUCGGAUCGUAAAACUCUGUUAUUAGGGAAGAACAAACGUGUAAGUAACUGUGCACGUCUUGACGGUACCUAAUCAGAAAGCCACGGCUAACUACGUG
rnacentral:rRNA from 1 species